rnacentral:rRNA from 1 species
GGGCCCGCACAAGCGGUGGAGCAUGUGGUUUAAUUCGAUGAUACGCGAGGAACCUUACCAGGGCUUAAAUGUAAGUUGCAUGGAUCAGAGAUGGUCCUUUCUUCGGACUACUUACAAGGUGCUGCAUGGUUGUCGUCAGCUCGUGCCGUGAGGUGUCAGGUUAAGUCCUAUAACGAGCGCAACCCCUAUCGUUAGUUGCCAACAGGUAAAGCUGGGAACUCUAACGAGACUGCCGGUGCAAACCGUGAGGAAGGUGGGGAUGACGUCAAAUCAUCACGGCCCUUACGUCCUGGGCUACACACGUGCUACAAUGGCCGGUACAGAGAGCAGCCACUACGCGAGUAGGAGCGAAUCUAUAAAACCGGUCUCAGUUCGGAUCGCAGUCUGCAACUCGACUGCGUGAAGCUGGAAUCGCUAGUAA